rnacentral:rRNA from 1 species
GACGAACGCUGGCGGCGUGCCUAAUACAUGCAAGUAGAACGCUGAAGGAGGAGCUUGCUUCUCCGGAUGAGUUGCGAACGGGUGAGUAACGCGUAGGUAACCUGCCUGGUAGCGGGGGAUAACUAUUGGAAACGAUAGCUAAUACCGCAUAAGAGUAGAUGUUGCAUGACAUUUGCUUAAAAGGUGCAAUUGCAUCACUACCAGAUGGACCUGCGUUGUAUUAGCUAGUUGGUGGGGUAACGGCUCACCAAGGCGACGAUACAUAGCCGACCUGAGAGGGUGAUCGGCCACACUGGGACUGAGACACGGCCCAGACCCCUACGGGAGGCAGCAGUAGGGAAUCUUCGGCAAUGGACGGAAGUCUGACCGAGCAACGCCGCGUGAGUGAAGAAGGUUUUCGGAUCGUAAAGCUCUGUUGUAAGAGAAGAACGAGUGUGAGAGUGGAAAGUUCACACUGUGACGGUAUCUUACCAGAAAGGGACGGCUAACUACGUGCCAGCAGCCGCGGUAAUACGUAGGUCCCGAGCGUUGUCCGGAUUUAUUGGGCGUAAAGCGAGCGCAGGCGGUUAGAUAAGUCUGAAGUUAAAGGCUGUGGCUUAACCAUAGUACGCUUUGGAAACUGUUUAACUUGAGUGCAAGAGGGGAGAGUGGAAUUCCAUGUGUAGCGGUGAAAUGCGUAGAUAUAUGGAGGAACACCGGUGGCGAAAGCGGCUCUCUGGCUUGUAACUGACGCUGAGGCUCGAAAGCGUGGGGAGCAAACAGG